rnacentral:rRNA from 1 species
AGACCCGAAACCCGGUGAUCUAGCCAUGGGCAGGUUGAAGGUUGGGUAACACUAACUGGAGGACCGAACCGACUAAUGUUGAAAAAUUAGCGGAUGACCUGUGGCUGGGGGUGAAAGGCCAAUCAAACCGGGAGAUAGCUGGUUCUCCCCGAAAGCUAUUUAGGUAGCGCCUCGUGAAUUCAUCUCCGGGGGUAGAGCACUGUUUCGGCUAGGGGGCCAUCCCGGCUUACCAACCCGAUGCAAACUGCGAAUACCGGAGAAUGUUAUCACGGGAGACACACGGCGGGUGCUAACGUCCGUCGUGAAGAGGGAAACAACCCAGACCGCCAGCUAAGGUCCCAAAGUCAUAGUUAAGUGGGAAACGAUGUGGGAAGGCCCAGACAGCCAGGAUGUUGGCUUAGAAGCAGCCAUCAUUUAAAGAAAGCGUAAUAGCUCACUGGUCGAGUCGGCCUGCGCGGAAGAUGUAACGGGGCUAAACUAUGCACCGAAGCUGCGGCAGCGACACUAUGUGUUGUUGGGUAGGGGAGCGUUCUGU